UCUAACGAUUUAUAGUCGUUGUACUCUAUUGUUAUAAUAUGUCUUUUUGACUGAAUACAUGUUUGUUUUAUUUGUCUAUAUCCUAGAUUCGCAGCUGGACACAUCCUUCUACACUGUAUGCAAACAUGCAACAUCAUUACACACAGUACAAGGAGUCUGACUGGCAUAUGAGGAGCAAAGGAACCCAGGCAGUAGCAUCGUUUCACAAUGUUUCCAUCACCAUCAUCAGUGGAUGCCUUUGCCGUCCGUAGCCUGAGAUUUCAGAUUUGCAGCAAAAAAAAUUAGAUUUUCUCAUUUAUUGGAAUGCUGUGCAGGUAUUUGUACCUUGCAGCCAUCCAUUACAAUGUCACCAAGCCGUAACAAAAGCAGGAGAGGGAAAGUACAAGGCUAUGUUCCCAAAACACACAAGUGACAUACCUUAUGUGGAGGAUGUGAUCAGGCUUGUGUUUGAUGAGGUAUUUGAAGAUAAGCUGAAGGAAACCCCGAUUCCAAUGGACCUGGCAUCACAGUUUGAGAGACCUUCAAAGGAGGACGUGAUUGCAUGCCAUCUUCAGUGCAGGGGUCGUCAAAAGCCAAAAUUGUGACCGAUCUGAUCAGGAAGCUCCAAGCACAUCUGGAGAACAACACACGACAGGAUGAUAACCUUAUAGUGUCGUCUUAAAUAGCACCAGCUGACAAAGCUUUGAUAUGCCAU